AAACACGCCCCCCCCCCCCAUAGCUAAACCAAUGGAAACCCUUAAAUCAAAGCAUUGGCAUCAGGCCCUAGUUUCCAAGAUAACCUCUUUCCUGGUUAACCCCAUGGGCCCUGGUUGAAAGUAGUGCACUUACAUAGGGAAUAGGGUGCCAUUUGGGACACAACCCGUUGGGCUUCUCUGGUUUUCUACUUCUACUCUCAGACUUUAAAACAUGGCCAAGUCUAUGUUUGGGAAUCAACCACUGUCACACCCUAGUGGUUAGUCACUUGUUUUCCCAUCAUGCAAAGUCACCACCUGUGGUCUAUUGGUUGACACACCCAGUAGCUCCACCCUCGUGUAAUAGCCUGGUUUUGGCCUAGUGUACCAAGGGGACAUAAACACUGUAGGCCCAUAUAUUCAAGAGCCAGCAUGUUUAUGUGAGAAGUUACAGAGGCCGACUAUAUAUAAUUUUUUACAGUAAGAGUAUACUGCGUCGCCUUCGAGUUUCGUCUAUUCGCAAGUGGAGGAGUUUUAAAUGUGAAUCCUCCUACCCCUACUCUCCACCCAAUGACCUUCAUGCACCCACGCACUUAACCCAGCUGUUACCUGGCAACCCAGCUCCUGCAUGGAACACCUCGUUGCCAUGUCAACAGAACGCAAUACACAUGGAAGUGGGGUGUUUUGUGCUGGCAGUCAUUGUCAAGGGGCGAGAAACAAACCUCCAACUGCGUUUUUGAACACUAGACGUUUUUUUAGAGGCUGAUGAGGGUCUCAUGGGGAUGUGGUCGACACACCGCCACACCAGAAAAUCACCCAGAUGGCUAAUAUUUCCUAGGUCUCAGUGGAACAAUCAGUGUUGAUGACUAACAAUUUGUCUAGGUCCAUUUCUGACAUUCAUUGUCUUUUGUGUAUUUUGUGUCUUGUGUAUGUUAGUGUAACAGGGUUGGUUAUGUUUCCACUUGCCUCUAAAGAAAUGUGUAUUUAAUGUUCAAGCAUUCUUAUUGGUUAGUUCAACUCUGAUGACAAUAAGGUGUGUUGUGAUUGGCCCCGCUUGCAGAUAGGGGGAGAUCGCGAACGUCAGGUCUCCCCAGUAUGAAAAUGUGAUGCAAGGGGUAGGUCACGUUCUGAAUACUGUUUUCUAUUUUCUAUUUUACAAUGUGUAGAAGUUUGCUGUACAUUACUGAUUUAUACAUGUGUGGGUAUAUGGUACCUGUUAGGGAUUGAGGGUCUUUCCGGGAUGUGCUUUGGCAUAUGAUUGCUGUAAAUAAGUGUGUUAGCUAGCAUACACCAAUGU
rnacentral:lncRNA from 13 species